CCUACGGGUGGCAGCAGUGGGGAAUCUUGCGCAAUGGGCGGAAGCGUGACGCAGCGACGCCGCGUGCGGGACGAAGGCCUUCGGGUCGUAAACCUCUUUCAGCAGGGACGAGGCCCUCACGAUGACAGUACCUGCAGAAGAAGCCCCGGCUAACUACGUGCCAGCGGCCGCGGUAAUGCGUAGGGGGCGAGCGUUAUCCGGAUUACUUGGGCGUAAAGCGCGCGUAGGCGGGCUGGUAGGUCGGGGGUCAAAUACCGGGGCUAAACCCCGGUCCGCCCCCGAUACCGGCAGGCUUGAGUCUGGUAGGGGAAGGCGGAAUUCCCAGUGUAGCGGUGGAAUGCGUAGAUAUUGGGAAGAACACCGGCGGCGAAGGCGGCCUUCUGGGCCACGACUGACGCUGAGGCGCGAAAGCUAGGGGAGCGAACAGGAUUAGAUACCCCUGUAGUC
rnacentral:rRNA from 1 species